CAGUCGCCACGGUAAAACGUAGGGUGCAAGCGUUAAUCGGAAUUACUGGGCGUAAAGCGUGCGCAGGCGGUGUUGUAAGACUGAUGUGAAAUCCCCGGGCUCAACCUGGGAACUGCAUUGGUGACUGCAACGCUAGAGUGCGGCAGAGGGGGAUGGAAUUCCGCGUGUAGCAGUGAAAUGCGUAGAUAUACGGAGGAACACCGAUGGCGAAGGCAAUCCCCUGGGCCUGCACUGACGCUCAUGCACGAAAGCGUGGGGAGCAAACAGGAUUAGAUACCCCUGUAGUCCCUGUCUCUUAUAC
rnacentral:rRNA from 1 species